CUGAUGCUCUGCUCCUUCUCCCCAUCGCGAUGCCCCGCCCAUUCACCAACGUCGCCUCCCUAGCGACGGCCGCCUUGUUGACCUUGUUUUGCUUCACCAAUGGUCGUGCGAGAAUCGACUUCCCAGCUGAGUCCACCCGCCGUGAUAGGGAUGACGACGGAGACUCGGUGACUAUCAACCAACCCGGCACCUGAACUCGGGCAGAGACCGGCAGUUGCUCCAUAGACGAGACGAUGUCGAGGGAUCGGUCCAGUCCUGGACCAUGUGGAGUACUUUAGGACGGACGAUGUCAAUAGAUAGAGGAUCGUACGAGCCAUCUGCUCGAGAAAUCGAUUUUGGAGUAUCAUAGUCCACCUUAUGCUGGAGAUGCUACAUGGUAUGUUGUUUUGUGCUGCUUCAUGUGCUCUUUUCAAUCUCUUACGUUUGCUGUCAUAUCUUGUUUUCUGAAGUUGAAAACUCUAGUACAAAGUUUCAGCGACGUUGUAGAAAAAAAAUCUGGUGUAAUACUAUGCUGGAAUGUUUAUAACUGAGUGACUUCGA